GUCUUGAGGCUGGUCCUAUUUGUUUAUUGUUUGGUGUGGUACCUUUUGCAUCAUGAUUCUCGGGUAGUUUCUAUAGAGUUUAGGGUCCCGAAAGAUAGUGAUCUAUUUUGUCCCCGCUCGGAGCUUAGGUGUGAUUGUGUUAAUCUUUUUAGAGGGUUAAAUAGGUGUGAUACGCAACUCGUACUAUCUAAUAACUGGUUGACGCAUGGUUCUUUAGUUUUACACCGUUUGCUAGAAGGUGAUCGGUGGUGUCAGAGACUUGUUUAUUAUUAAAUGAUUUUGGGGUUAGAAGUACCCUGGUUUAAUUUUUGUGUUGUAACAAUUUUGAGUGUUGGUAGGUCUUGAAUUUAUAGUGUGUCUUUGUAACUAUUUAGUAGUGAGUUAUCGGGGAAUUAGUAGUUUAAGAAUUGCUGUACUUUUGUCUCGAUUUUCACUCGUCUGUUUAUUAAAAACAUUUCCAUCAGUUAAGUAUUGAUGGUAGGUCCUGCCCGAUGGUUAAUAUCUCAAUGGCCGCAGGAUUAAACUGUGAGAAAGUAGCAUAAUUAGUUGCCUCGUAAUUGGAGGAUGGUUUGAAUGGUCUGACGAAGUGGGAUUUGAAAUGUGCGGUGUGUGGCGAACUUAGAGUGUCUGUGCAGAUCCGGAUGGUUUUUAGUAAGACGGAAAGACCCCGAGAACUUUAUAUUUAGUAUUUGCUUGGGGCAAGAGUAUGUGUUUUACAUAUUUUUCGAUCCCCCAUUGGGGAUAAAAGGAUUAAGUUACCUCGGGGAUAACUAGGUGAUAAAUAAUGUGAGUUCUAAUCUAUUUAUUUGGUUGCCAUCUCGAUGUUGGCUUAGGGUUAGUGUAGUGGUGCAGAAGCUAUUACAUUAGGUCUGUUCGACCUUAGUUCCCUUAUGAGUUGAGUUGAGACCGGCGUGAGCCAGGUCGGAUCUUAUCUACUUUGGUUGUGGGUUAGUACGAAAGGAUUGCUCAUGAUUUAGGUU
rnacentral:rRNA from 1 species